rnacentral:lncRNA from 1 species
CUCAGGCUGAGUUUGAAAAAGCUGCUGAGGGUAUUAGGCACCUCAAGAUCAAGCUAAAGGAUGAUGAGAUGCUGUUGAUCUAAGAACAUUGCAACCAAGUGGCGUGGGCGACAUAAAUACAGAAAUACAGCAAGGCCAAAAGGGGUGUCUGGAAUAAACUGAAAGCAACGACCAAGAAUGACACCAUGAAAGCUUAGUCCACAAAGAAGCAUUCAAGAAAAACUAGAGACGGGAUUUG